GAGUUUGAUCAUGGCUCAGGAUGAACGCUAGCGACAGGCCUAACACAUGCAAGUCGAGGGGCAGCAUAAAGGUAGCAAUACUUUGGUGGCGACCGGCGCACGGGUGAGUAACACGUAUGCAACCUACCUGUAAGAGGGGAAUAACCCGGAGAAAUUCGGACUAACACCGCAUAAUACCGAUUAACUGCAUGGUUGAUCGGUUAAAUAUUUAUAGCUUACAGAUGGGCAUGCGUAACAUUAGAUAGUUGGUGAGGUAACGGCUCACCAAGUCAACGAUGUUUAGGGGUUCUGAGAGGAAGGUCCCCCACACUGGUACUGAGACACGGACCAGACUCCUACGGGAGGCAGCAGUGAGGAAUAUUGGUCAAUGGGCGAGAGCCUGAACCAGCCAAGUCGCGUGAAGGAAGAAUGUCCUAUGGAUUGUAAACUUCUUUUGUAAGGGAAUAAAAAAGGGUACGUGUACCCUAUUGUAUGUACUUUACGAAUAAGGAUCGGCUAACUCCGUGCCAGCAGCCGCGGUAAUACGGAGGAUCCGAGCGUUAUCCGGAUUUAUUGGGUUUAAAGGGUGCGUAGGCGGACCCAUAAGUCAGUGGUGAAAGUUUGCAGCUCAACUGUAAAAUUGCCAUUGAAACUGUGGGUCUUGAGUGUAAAUGAGGUAGGCGGAAUGUGUUGUGUAGCGGUGAAAUGCUUAGAUAUAACACAGAACACCAAUUGCGAAGGCAGCUUACUGGGAUACAACUGACGCUGAGGCACGAAAGCGUGGGGAUCAAACAGGAUUAGAUACCCUGGUAGUCCACGCAGUAAACGAUGAAUACUAGCUGUAUG
rnacentral:rRNA from 1 species